rnacentral:rRNA from 1 species
AUUGAACGCUGGCGGCAGGCCUAACACAUGCAAGUCGAACGAGUGGCGGACGGGUGAGUAAUGUCUGGGCAACUGCCUGAUGGAGGGGGAUAACUACUGGAAACGGUAGCUAAUACCGCAUACCAUCAGAUGUGCCUAACUGGGAUUAGCUAGUUGGUGGGGUAACGGCUCACCAAGGCGAUGAUCCCUAGCGGGUUUGCGAGGAUGACCCGCCACACUGGAAUUGAGACACGGGCCAGACUCCUACGGGAGGCAGCAGUGGGGAAUAUUGCACAGUGGGCGAAAGCCUGAUGCAGCCAUGCCGCGUGUAUGAAGAAGGCCUUCGGGUUGUAAAGUACUUUCAGCGGGGAGGCGUUACCCGCAGAAGAAGCACCGGCUAACUCCGUGCCAGCAGCCGCGGUAAUUC